CUUGAGGUCAUGAGUUUGAGACCAGCCUGGCCAACAUGAUGAAGCCUGAGAAAAUGAUGAGCAGAUAAAGAGGCACCAAAACUUGGGAGGCAAGUUGAUCCAUCUCCAGUAAAGACUGAGGAAAAGAGCAAGCAAAGACUGAGGAAAAGAAAGACAAAUACUUCCUCUGCUCUCAGACCUUCUUUCUUUGAAGGCCACCCCUUUUUGAAGUUUGGAGUUUGAAACACAACCUGGACUGAAGUCAUGAGGGAGGCUGUGUAAGAAAGAAUCAUCAAGGGAAUUAGUUGGGAACUUCUCUGCCACAGCUUGCUUCUUAUGGUAUUAACCCCCUUUCAGUGUAAAUGCCUUUGGUUUAAAACGUUUGUACCUCAUCUGAUACCAGAGUGUUCAUACUGGAGAGAAACCCUAUGAAUUUUCUGAACGUGGGGGAUCUUUUACUCACAUGUCACAUCUCAUUGAACGUAGAAGUCAUGCUGAAGAGAAACCCUGUGCUUCUAAGGAAUAUUGACAAGCCCUUAGCUAGAUGACAAAUCUCAUUGAGAAGCAGAAGAUUCAUGCUGGUGAGAAACCAGUGAAGGUGAAAGUAGCAAUGCUUCAUUGAAUAUUAGAAAAUUUUUCUGGAGAGAGAGCAUUGAAUGUACUGAGUAUGAUAAAAACUUCCUCUCAAACCUUAUCCCUUGAUAUGCAUUUGGGUGAUCAUACACAGAGAAGCCUU